rnacentral:lncRNA from 1 species
UCCAACUUAAAAAUUUAAAUGCAAAAGCUAGAAAUGGUAAUUUUUGGUAAACGUGUUUUGAAGGGUAGAAUCAAAGUUUACGUUUAAAGAAAGAAAAUACAGCCAAACAAAAAAGUGAUCUUGUUUACGUGAGAGUUGGAUUGAAGCUCCAAGGGGGAAUAGAGAGCACAAACGAUGGUUGCUAAGUUUCUUUGCUGUUAUCUAAAAUAUUUGGCUUGAAAGAAAUGACAGGAUUUUUAAGAACAAGCACUUGGGUGUAGAGGAUAUCAUCAAGAGAACGGUGAACAGCUACCAAGAAUGGCAACGUGUUGAGUCCAACAGUUGUUGAUGGCUAUGCCAGAGAUGACUAGGUGUUAGAACUGUUUUAUUUGUUAUAUGUUCAUGCACUCCACCUUGUUGUGUUGAGUAUUUACUUCAAAAAAAAAAAAAAUCAAACAACCAAUGGUAGUUGAAGAGAAGAGAAGCACCUUAUACUAUGGUAAUUGUAGAUAGUAUUUUUACAUGAAGGAAGAAGCAUUUCAAAUGCUUAUACACAUGAACAUAAGGAAUCAAAUGGAAGCUGAAAUGCUUAUAAAGUGCACUGUUUUCACUAACUAUGUGUGAUUUUUUUUUGUCACGAAAAAAUUAUAAAACACAUUUAUAUUUCUGAGAAGUGAUCACCUGAUUGGCACCUGCAGUAA